rnacentral:rRNA from 1 species
GAUGAACGCUGGCGGCGUGCUUAACACAUGCAAGUCGAACGAAGCAUUUAGAACGGAUUACUUCGGUUUGAAGUUCUUUAUGACUGAGUGGCGGACGGGUGAAUAACGCGUGGGUAACCUGCCUUGUACUGGGGGAUAGCAGCUGGAAACGGCUGGUAAUACCGCAUAAGCGCACAAUGUUGCAUGACAUGGUGUGAAAAACUCCGGUGGUAUAGAUGGACCCGCGUCUGAUUAGCUAGUUGGUGAGAUAACAGCCCACCAAGGCGACGAUCAGUAGCCGACCUGAGAGGGUGACCGGCCACAUUGGGACUGAGACACGGCCCAGACUCCUACGGGAGGCAGCAGUGGGGAAUAUUGCACAAUGGAGGAAACUCUGAUGCAGCGACGCCGCGUGAGUGAAGAAGUAAUUCGUUAUGUAAAGCUCUAUCAGCAGGGAAGAUAGUGACGGUACCUGUCUAAGAAGCUCCGGCUAAAUACUUGCCAGCAGCCGCCGUAA